rnacentral:misc_RNA from 1 species
UCCGGUUUGGCACCGGCAGUCUCCUAUGAGUCCCCGGCAUUAUCCGCUGGCAACAUAGGACAGGGGUUGCGCUCGUUGCGCCACUUAAGGCAACACCUCACGGCACGAGCUGACGACGGCCAUGCAGCACCUGUGCGGGCUCCCGAAGGAGGACCGUGUUUCCACGCCGGUCAGGAACAUGUCAAGCCCAGGUAAGGUUCUUCGCGUUGCGUCGAAUUAAACCACAUGCUCCGCUGCUUGUGCGGGCCCCCGUCAAUUCCUUUGAGUUUUAGCCUUGCGGCCGUACUCCCCAGGCGGGGUGCUUAAUGCGUUAGCUGCGGCACGGACGGAGUCGACACCGCCCACACCUAGCACCCAUCGUUUACGGCGUGGACUAC